rnacentral:rRNA from 1 species
UACGUAGGCAGCGAGCGUUGUUCGGAGUUACUGGGCGUAAAGGGUGUGUAGGCGGUUCUUUAAGUUUGGUGUGAAAUCUCCCGGCUCAACCGGGAGGGUGCGCCGAAUACUGAGGGACUAGAGUGCGGGAGAGGAAAGUGGAAUUCCUGGUGUAGCGGUGAAAUGCGUAGAUAUCAGGAGGAACACCGGUGGUGUAGACGGCUCACUGGACCGUAACUGACGCUGAGACCCGAAAGCGUGGGUAGCAAACAGG